UACGAAGGGAGCAAGCGUUAUUCGGAAUCACUGGGCGUAAAGGGCGUGUAGGCGGUUGAUUAAGUCAGUUGUUAAAUUCCUCAGCCUAACUGAGGCCAAGCAAUUGAAACUGGUCGGCUAGAGUACAGAAGAGAAGAGUGGAAUUCCACGUGUAGCGGUGAAAUGCGUAGAGAUGUGGAGGAACACCAGUGGCGAAGGCGACUCUUUGGUCUGUAACUGACGCUGAGGCGCGAAAGCGUGGGGAGCAAACAGG
rnacentral:rRNA from 1 species